CCAGGCCGCUGCGACUGUUUAUUAAAAACACAGCACUCUGCAAACACGAAAGUGGACGUAUAGGGUGUGACGCCUGCCCGGUGCCGGAAGGUUAAUUGAUGGGGUUAGCGCAAGCGAAGCUCUUGAUCGAAGCCCCGGUAAACGGCGGCCGUAACUAUAACGGUCCUAAGGUAGCGAAAUUCCUUGUCGGGUAAGUUCCGACCUGCACGAAUGGCGUAACGAUGGCGGCGCUGUCUCCACCCGAGACUCAGUGAAAUUGAAAUCGCUGUGAAGAUGCAGUGUAUCCGCGGCUAGACGGAAAGACCCCGUGAACCUUUACUGUAGCUUUGCACUGGACUUUGAGCCUGCUUGUGUAGGAUAGGUGGGAGGCUUUGAAGCGUGGACGCCAGUUCGCGUGGAGCCAUCCUUGAAAUACCACCCUGGCAUGCUUGAGGUUCUAACUCUGGUCCGUGAUCCGGAUCGAGGACAGUGUAUGGUGGGCAGUUUGACUGGGGCGGUCUCCUCCUAAAGAGUAACGGAGGAGUACGAAGGUGCGCUCAGACCGGUCGGAAAUCGGUCGUAGAGUAUAAAGGCAAAAGCGCGCUUGACUGCGAGACAGACACGUCGAGCAGGUACGAAAGUAGGUCUUAGUGAUCCGGUGGUUCUGUAUGGAAGGGCCAUCGCUCAACGGAUAAAAGGUACUCCGGGGAUAACAGGCUGAUACCGCCCAAGAGUUCAUAUCGACGGCGGUGUUUGGCACCUCGAUGUCGGCUCAUCACAUCCUGGGGCUGAAGCCGGUCCCAAGGGUAUGGCUGUUCGCCAUUUAAAGUGGUACGCGAGCUGGGUUUAGAACGUCGUGAGACAGUUCGGUCCCUAUCUGCCGUGGACGUUUGAGAUUUGAGAGGGGCUGCUCCUAGUACGAGAGGACCGGAGUGGACGAACCUCUGGUGUUCCGGUUGUCACGCCAGUGGCAUUGCCGGGUAGCUAUGUUCGGAAAAGAUAACCGCUGAAAGCAUCUAAGCGGGAAACUUGCCUCAAGAUGAGAUCUCACUGGGAACUUGAUUCCCCUGAAGGGCCGUCGAAGACUACGACGUUGAUAGGCUGGGUGUGUAAGCGUUGUGAGGCGUUGAGCUAACCAGUACUAAUUGCCCGUGAGGCUUGACCAUAUAACACCCAAACA
rnacentral:rRNA from 1 species